GGCCUAACCAUGCAAGUCGAACGGUAACAGGAAGCAGCUUGCUGCUUUGCUGACGAGUGGCGGACGGGUGAGUAAUGUCUGGGAAACUGCCUGAUGGAGGGGGAUAACUACUGGAAACGGUAGCUAAUACCGCAUAACGUCGCAAGACCAAAGAGGGGGACCUUCGGGCCUCUUGCCAUCGGAUGUGCCCAGAUGGGAUUAGCUAGUAGGUGGGGUAACGGCUCACCUAGGCGACGAUCCCUAGCUGGUCUGAGAGGAUGACCAGCCACACUGGAACUGAGACACGGUCCAGACUCCUACGGGAGGCAGCAGUGGGGAAUAUUGCACAAUGGGCGCAAGCCUGAUGCAGCCAUGCCGCGUGUAUGAAGAAGGCCUUCGGGUUGUAAAGUACUUUCAGCGGGGAGGAAGGCG
rnacentral:rRNA from 1 species